UACGGAGGGUCCAAGCGUUAUCCGGAUUUAUUGGGUUUAAAGGGUGCGUAGGCGGUUUUAUAAGUUAGAGGUGAAAGACCGUAGCUCAACUACGGAACUGCCUCUGAUACUGUAAGGCUAGAGAAUGGUUGCUGUGGGCGGAAUGUGUGGUGUAGCGGUGAAAUGCUUAGAGAUCACACAGAACACCGAUUGCGAAGGCAGCUCACAAAGCCAUUUCUGACGCUGAGGCACGAAAGCGUGGGGAGCAAACAGGAUUAGAUACCCCGGUA
rnacentral:rRNA from 1 species